AUGAUCGCCGGCUGCACCGAAGAACUUCGAAGAUACUCUCCGAUGUUCUCUCGAGACUUUGUGCCCGUUGCUUUUUCAAUUCCCUAUCACCGAUAUAUCCCUAUGGAUAAAUACAUACACUUGCUGUUCAUACCUUCAGUCGAAGUUGCUCUUGUUAUUACUAGAUACCACGAAAAAUUUGCCAAUAUCUCGAGAAUCCUUUGUGCCUACUGCCUUGCAGUUCCUUGCCACCUGAAUACCCCUACGGAUAAUUUCUCGCCCUUAUCGAGUAUCCGUUCAUCCCCAGUUGUUCAUGUGUUUCACAAUGGUCUUCGAAAUACUAUUCGAUCCUCCAAAAAUCCUUAG
rnacentral:rRNA from 1 species